ACGGGUGAGUAAUGCCUAGGAAUCUGCCUGGUAGUGGGGGAUAACGUUCGGAAACGGACGCUAAUACCGCAUACGUCCUACGGGAGAAAGCAGGGGACCUUCGGGCCUUGCGCUAUCAGAUGAGCCUAGGUCGGAUUAGCUAGUUGGUGAGGUAAUGGCUCACCAAGGCGACGAUCCGUAACUGGUCUGAGAGGAUGAUCAGUCACACUGGAACUGAGACACGGUCCAGACUCCUACGGGAGGCAGCAGUGGGGAAUAUUGGACAAUGGGCGAAAGCCUGAUCCAGCCAUGCCGCGUGUGUGAAGAAGGUCUUCGGAUUGUAAAGCACUUUAAGUUGGGAGGAAGGGUUGUAGAUUAAUACUCUGCAAUUUUGACGUUACCGACAGAAUAAGCACCGGCUAACUCUGUGCCAGCAGCCGCGGUAAUACAGAGGGUGCAAGCGUUAAUCGGAAUUACUGGGCGUAAAGCGCGCGUAGGUGGUUUGUUAAGUUGGAUGUGAAAUCCCCGGGCUCAACCUGGGAACUGCAUUCAAAACUGACUGACUAGAGUAUGGUAGAGGGUGGUGGAAUUUCCUGUGUAGCGGUGAAAUGCGUAGAUAUAGGAAGGAACACCAGUGGCGAAGGCGACCACCUGGACUAAUACUGACACUGAGGUGCGAAAGCGUGGGGAGCAAACAGGAUUAGAUACCCUGGUAGUCCACGCCGUAACGAUGUCAACUAGCCGUUGGAAGCCUUGAGCUUUUAGUGG
rnacentral:rRNA from 1 species